rnacentral:rRNA from 1 species
GACGUAGGGUGCAAGCGUUUGUCCGGAAUUAUUGGGCGUAAAGAGCUCGUAGGCGGUCUGUCGCGUCGGCUGUGAAAACCCGGGGCUCAACCCCGGGCCUGCAGUCGAUACGGGCUAGCUAGAGUGUGGUAGGGGAGAUCGGAAUUCCUGGUGUAGCGGUGAAAUGCGCAGAUAUCAGGAGGAACACCCGUGGCGAAGGCGGUUCUCUGGAACGCAACUGACGCUGAGAACGCGGAAAGCGUGGGAAGCAAACAGG